rnacentral:rRNA from 1 species
GGGGCCUGCGGAGGGAUCAUUA